rnacentral:rRNA from 1 species
UACGGAGGAUCCAAGCGUUAUCCGGAAUUACUGGGCGUAAAGAGUUGCGUAGGUGGCAGAGUAAGCAGACAGUGAAAUCGUGUGGCUCAACCAUACAUCCAUUGUCUGAACUGCUCAGCUAGAAGAUGAGAGAGGUAGAUGGAAUUCCCAGUGUAGGAGUGAAAUCCGUAGAUAUCGGGAGGAACACCUGUGGCGAAAGCGGCGCACUGGACCACAACUGACGCUGAUGCGCGAAAGCUAGGGGAGCAAACAGG